rnacentral:rRNA from 1 species
CCCCGUGAAGAAGCGAGGAUAACACUAUAAGACGAGAAGACCCCAUGGAGCUUUAAACCCAAUUAUAUCCCUAACCCCUAUACCCAUUUAACCUCUUAGGCCUAUAUACUUGGUUUUAGGUUGGGGCGACCACGGAGUAAAACCAAACCUCCAUGAUGUACGGAACAACCUCCUUAUCUAAGAGCCACAGCUCUAAGAAUUAGCACACUAUCAUAAAAUGACCCAUUAUUGAUCAACGAACCAAGUUACCCUGGGGAUAACAGCGCAAUCCAUUUUAAGAGCCCCUAUCGACAAAUGGGUUUACGACCUCGAUGUUGGAUCAGGAUAUCCCAGUGGUGCAGCAACUACUAAAGGUUCGUUUGUUCAACGAUCAAAAUCCU